AUAAAGUUUUGGUCCUAAACUUGCCAUUGUUUUUAACCAAGAUUAUACAUGCAAGCUUCCACAAACCAGUGAGAAUGCCCACACAGCCCUAAACAGCGAAAUGGAGCAGGUAUCAGGUUUACACAAUUGUACCAAAAACACCUUGCUACGCCACACCUUCACAGGAAUUCAGCAGUAAAUAACAUUAAGCAAUAAGCGAAAGCUUGACUUAGCUAUGGUUGAGAGAGCCGGUAAAUUCCGUGCCAGCCACCGCGGUUACACGUAAGACCCAAGACAAUAGCCUACGGCGUAAAGCGUGACUAAAGAUAAAACACACACCUUUAAAGGAAAACUACUGCUAAGCUGUAGAACGCCAACGCACCUAAGAAAUACCCCACUAAUAUGCCUUUAAAACUAAAGUUUCCAACAUCACGAAAGCCAGGAAACAAACUGGGAUUAGAUACCCCACUAUGCUUGGCCCUAACCACAGAUAAUUACCAAACAAAAUUAUCCGCCAGAGGACUACAAGCGAAAAGCUCGAAACUCCAAGGACUUGGCGGUGCUCCAUACCGACCUAGAGGAGCCUGUCCUAUAAUCGAUACCCCCCGUUCCACCCAACCAUCUUUUGCCUUCAGCCUAUAUACCGCCGUCGUAAGCCUACCUUAUGAAAGAACACUAGUAAGCAAAAUGGUCCUUCACCAACACGUCAGGUCAAGGUGUAGCUAACAAGAUGGAAGAGAUGGGCUACAUUUUCUGCAACAGAAAAAACGAACAGCACACUGAAACCUGUGCCAAAAGGCGGAUUUAGCAGUAAGAUAAACAAGAGAUUAUACCUUAAACCCGCUCUGGAGCGCGCACACACCGC
rnacentral:ncRNA from 1 species